rnacentral:rRNA from 1 species
ACUCCUGCGGGAGGCAGCAGUGGGGAAUUUUGGACAAUGGGCGCAAGCCUGAUCCAGCCAUGCCGCGUGCGGGAAGAAGGCCUUCGGGUUGUAAACCGCUUUUGUCAGGGAAGAAAAGGUUCUGGCUAAUACCUGGGACUCAUGACGGUACCUGAAGAAUAAGCACCGGCUAACUACGUGCCAGCAGCCGCGGUAAUACGUAGGGUGCAAGCGUUAAUCGGAAUUACUGGGCGUAAAGCGUGCGCAGGCGGUUAUGCAAGACAGAGGUGAAAUCCCCGGGCUCAACCUGGGAACUGCCUUUGUGACUGCAUGGCUAGAGUACGGUAGAGGGGGAUGGAAUUCCGCGUGUAGCAGUGAAAUGCGUAGAUAUGCAGAGGAACACCGAUGGCGAAGGCAAUCCCCUGGACCUGUACUGACGCUCAUGCGCGAAAGCGUGGGGAGCAAACAGGAUUAGAAACCCCUGUAGUCCCAUG